AGUGAACGCUGGCGGUAGGCCUAACACAUGCAAGUCGAACGGCAGCACAGUAAGAGCUUGCUCUUACGGGUGGCGAGUGGCGGACGGGUGAGGAAUACAUCGGAAUCUACUUUUUCGUGGGGGAUAACGUAGGGAAACUUACGCUAAUACCGCAUACGACCUACGGGUGAAAGCAGGGGAUCUUCGGACCUUGCGCGAUUGAAUGAGCCGAUGCCGGAUUAGCUAGUUGGCGUGGUAAAGGCCCACCAAGGCGACGAUCCGUAGCUGGUCUGAGAGGAUGAUCAGCCACACUGGAACUGAGACACGGUCCAGACUCCUACGGGAGGCAGCAGCGGGGAAUAUUGGACAAUGGGCGCAAGCCUGAUCCAGCCAUACCGCGUGGGUGAAGAAGGCCUUCGGGUUGUAAAGCCCUUUUGUUGGGAAAGAAAAGCAGCAGGUUAAUACCCCGCUGUUCUGACGGUACCCAAAGAAUAAGCACCGGCUAACUUCGUG
rnacentral:rRNA from 1 species